GACGAACGCUGGCGGCGUGCUUAACACAUGCAAGUCGAACGGUGAAGCGCUUUCCUUUUUGGUUGGUGUGGAUGAGUGGCGAGCGGGUGAGUAACACGUGAGUAACCUGCCCCCUUCUUCUGGAUAACCGCAUGAAGGUGUGGCUAAUACGGGAUAUUCUGCGCCUGCUGCAUGGUGGGUGUGGGAAAGAUUGUGCCUUUGGGUGUUUUCGGUGGGGGAUGGGCUCGCGGCCUAUCAGCUUGUUGGUGGGGUGAUGGCCUACCAAGGCGGUGACGGGUAGGCGUGCUGAGAGGGUGGACGGUCACACUGGGACUGGGCCACGGCCCAGACUCCUACGGGAGGCAGCAGUGGGGAAUAUUGCACAAUGGGAGCAAGCCUGAUGCAGCGACGCCGCGUGAGGGAGGGAGGCCUUCGGGUUGUGAACCUCUUUCGCCAGUGAAGCAGGCCUGCUCCUUGUGGGUGGGUUGACGGUAGCUGGAUAAGAAGCGCCGGCUAACUACGUG
rnacentral:rRNA from 1 species